UGCAGCUUUGUCAAAUUCAGUGCUUCCUCUGUGGUAGUUUGCACUGGCCAAAAUGGCUGCAACAGAAACUGUAGUUCAUGGGCCCCACUUCCGUCACCAUGGUUACUGGGGAUAAAUAUGUACUACACACAAGC